rnacentral:lncRNA from 1 species
CUAGCCGGCAUUAAUGGACACGGGAGAGCAGCGCAGCCAUGUGCACGCCGCUUCUACUCUAAACGGACGAGCAUUGUUUGUUUGCUGCUCCUCCCGUGUCCACAAGUAUUGGCGAGCAACCUUGUUUGAAUGUAUAUUCGUCGCGGAAGGCUUAUUAAUGUGUGGUGAGGUCGAGUCCAAUCAUCCAAUGUUCCGGAUUUAAGCGCUCUAACCUGUCGCAGUGAGGCCCUGAUGUGAAGUCCCGACACUGGAUGCAGUGACCUGUCCUUGAGUCGCAUGUGUCUGCGUGACCGUUGCAGUCGCAGCGCUGGCAGUUGGGGUAGUUCCAGAAGCCAGGCUGGCAUUCGUCGCACUGUCGGCCGUACGUGUUGGGCCGGCAUUUGCACUGGCCCGUCUGGGCAUCGCAGAAGUUGUCCAGGGAACCAAUUCCAUUGCAGUCGCAUGCUGGAAGUGAAUGCCUGCCAAGUCACUUUACCAUUGGAGGCUAUGCAUUAUAUGUAAAGCUUCCAGAUUCAUGAAUAGCGUUAUGAAUACACAUUACAGGCGAGAAGUCCGGAAACAAAUCCCCAUGUCAUGCAUAGUACCAGUAACAUGUAACUGCAGGGAGAGUCAUGCAUGCUCUCACAAUGCCAAUGCAGCUACAAGCACAUUCUUUGGCAAUGAAAAAAAAGGAAUUCAAACAAUCAUCAGGGGAAACAUUUGUUUGCCCAGGAGCAAGUACAGUUAAACCUCAAUAUAAUGAACUUCAAUAUAAUUAAAUUCUCAGUAUAAUGAAGUAUUUACAUUUUUAUAACUUUAUAACUGCUAUAGAUAGUAGCAGUAUAUAUGUGUGACAGUAGUAUGGUGUAGGCCGCAUUCCUGAGCAAUUCAUCAUAUCAACACAUAAAACCAUGCAUUCUGUGCUAGAAAAAUGCACAAUUUCUGCUCUACAAGAUGCUGAAAACGGACUGUGCCACCUUCUGAAAACUUAAAACAAACAUGCUUCAACUGCUGUUAUGUUUCACUUGUGGUCUCUUGUGAUUUCUAGUUUUCUUUUAACUUGUGACCAAGCACAUAGUACAAGAUAACAUUCCGAGUCUUCUAAGAAUCAUUGGUCAUUAUACUUUCUACAUCCUCCAUCCGUCAGUCGAAGCUACUACUAGUUGGGCGAGUUGCCUCGGCUUUGAUGCAAGGAUGAAAAUGUGUGUUAAAAAAAAAAGAAAAAAAAGACAUGCCAGUGUAGUUAGUGUCUGUGAUGUUGACAGAAAAAGAAUUCCUUUUCGGAUAUGUGACAAGAUAGUAGUGCUCACGACUGAGUGGACAUAUCUUUUGUACAUAUAUUGGUUAAUUUAAUUAUUUUAAUGCCCAGAGGCAUUAUAUAUGGAAGUGAUGAUUAAGAAAGAAGUGCAGUAUCUAUAAGUGACAUGGCGGAGGUAGGUUGCCUUUGGGAUAAAUGAGUCAAAAAUGGAAUUUAUGUGACAAAAAGGAACAGCAAAUUUCAGCAAGCGAUCAGUACAAAAUGACAUACAAUGUGGCUUACUAAGGAGUGGUACAUGUGUCGACAGGGUUUAUUGAAUAAGACCGUCUGAAGC